AUUGAACGCUGGCGGCAUGCCUUACACAUGCAAGUCGAACGGUAACGGGUCCUUCGGGAUGCCGACGUGUGGCGAACGGGUGAGUAAUAUAUCGGAACGUGCCCAGUAGUGGGGGAUAACUGCUCGAAAGAGCAGCUAAUACCGCAUACGACCUGAGGGUGAAAGGGGGGGAUCGCAAGACCUCUCGCUAUUGGAGCGGCCGAUAUCAGAUUAGCUAGUUGGUGGGGUAAAGGCCUACCAAGGCAACGAUCUGUAGUUGGUCUGAGAGGACGACCAGCCACACUGGGACUGAGACACGGCCCAGACUCUUACGGGAGGCAGCAGUGGGGAAUUUUGGACAAUGGGCGCAAGCCUGAUCCAGCAAUGCCGCGUGCAGGAAGAAGGCCUUCGGGUUGUAAACUGCUUUUGUCAGGGAAGAAAUCUUCUGGGCUAAUACCCCGGGAGGAUGACGGUACCUGAAGAAUAAGCACCGGCUAACUACGUGCCAGCCGCCGCAGUAA
rnacentral:rRNA from 1 species